AACAGAUCAACCAACAGAUUUGGGACUGCAUGUGACCAUUAAAUGUGAUCUGGAUGAAGAUGAGGUUUAUUGGAUAUUACUGAAUCUACCAAAUCCUCCAAUGACGAUUUUGCGCUCAUUUUCAACUUCUGAAACACCUUUCUACUACAAUGAGACAUUCACACACAAAUAUUCAUUGCAAUCUAAACACCUGCUUAUAAAAAAUGUUCAUGUAGAAGAAUUAGGAGUUUAUUACUGUAUGAGCACAGGAAUAUUUCCAAAAUUUUGCAACGGCAUCAGACUACACGUUAUUGAACCAACUCAGCAAACUCAGUUCACUAAGUGUCAGAAUCACAGUGUAAUACAUUAUAUUCAGCAAAAUUACACAGUGAUGAAUAGUAUUGAACAGAAUCGGACACAUUGGAAGAUUAUUAUUCUUAUAUCUGGUGUGUUAAGUGCUGUCCUGGUCUUUGUGGCCAUUGGUAGUGUAUGUCACUACACUCGAGAACAUUUUAAACAUCAAGAUCGGGAUUUACAUCAAACUACAUUUACAUCUGUAGAACAGCUAAAGAACAGUAUAAUG